CUUUUCUUCUUCUUUCCUUAUCCUAUUCUUCUUCUUCUUGUUCUCUUCUUCUUGUUCUUCUUUUCUUCUCCUCUUCAUCAUCUUUUCUUCUUCUUCUUUUUCUUCUUCUUCUUUUCUUCUUCUUCUUCUUCUUCUUGUUCUUGUUCUUCUUCUUCUUUUCUUCUUCUUCUUGUUCUUCAUCCUUAUUUUCCUUUUUCUUCUUCUUUCUUCUCCUCU
rnacentral:lncRNA from 1 species